rnacentral:rRNA from 1 species
UAUCGUCUGGGAUAACUCGGGAAACUGAGAACAAGGCCGGAUAGUUCACAAUGCCUGGAACGGUUUGUGAAUCAAGGUAGGAUGGGUCUGCGGCGUAUCAGGUUGUAGGGGGUGUAAAGGACCCCCUAGCCUUCGACGCGUACGGGUGUUGGGAGACAUAGCCCGGAGAUGGAUUCUGAGACACGAAUCCAGACCCUACGGGGUGCAGCAGGCGCGAAAACUUCACACUGCGGGAAACUGUGAUGAGGGAACUCCUAGUGCAUGCACUAUGUGUAUGUAGAUCCUACUCUUAACAAGUAGAGGGAAAGGGCUGGGAAAGACCGGUGCCAGCCGCCGCGGUAAUACCGGCAGCUCAAGUGGUCGUCGCUUUUAUUGGGCCUAAAACGUCCGUAGCCUGUUUGGUAAAUCUGUGGGUAAAUCAAUCCGCUCAACGGAUUGAAUUCUGCAGAGACUGCCAGACUAGGGACCGGGAGAGGUGUGGGGUACUCGAGGGGUAGGGGUAAAAUCCUGUCAUCCUUCGAGGACCACCAGUUGCGAAGGCGCCACACUGGAACGGAUCCGACGGUCAGGGACGAAGCCUAGGGGCACGAACCGGAUUAGAUACCCGGGUAGUCCUA